rnacentral:rRNA from 1 species
CCUACGGGGGGCAGCAGUGGGGAAUAUUGGGCAAUGGGCGCAAGCCUGACCCAGCAACGCCGCGUGAAGGAAGAAGGCUUUCGGGUUGUAAACUUCUUUUGACAGGGAAGAGCAGAAGACGGUACCUGUCGAAUAAGCCACGGCUAACUACGUGCCAGCAGCCGCGGUAAUACGUAGGUGGCAAGCGUUGUCCGGAUUUACUGGGUGUAAAGGGCGUGUAGCCGGGCUGACAAGUCAGAUGUGAAAUCCGGGGGCUCAACCCCCGAACUGCAUUUGAAACUGUUGGUCUUGAGUAUCGGAGAGGCAGGCGGAAUUCCUAGUGUAGCGGUGAAAUGCGUAGAUAUUAGGAGGAACACCAGUGGCGAAGGCGGCCUGCUGGACGACAACUGACGGUGAGGCGCGAAAGCGUGGGGAGCAAACAGGAUUAGAUACCCGGGUA